rnacentral:tRNA from 1 species
GGAGCUAUCAACCACUCAGCCAUCUCUC